GCCGGGCGUGGUAGCGCGCGCCUGUAAUCCCAGCUACUCGGGAGGCUGAAGCAGGAGAAUUGCUUGAACCCGGGAGGCAGAGGUUGCAGUGAGCUGAGAUUGUGCCACUGCACUCCAGCCUGGGUGACAGAGUGAGACUCCGUCUCAA
rnacentral:SRP_RNA from 2 species